AACCCCUCGACUGCUGUCGGGGAUACCGAGGGGGUUUCUUAGCGUUUGGCCGGCCCCCGGUGCCACCCGCUAUCCGCUUCUUGCUCUUCUCCUUGGCCUCGGCUGCGGACUCGCGCUCCUCGCGUUCGUGGGCAUAGCCAUGCUCCGCCCACAACGCCCGAUCAAAGACCUCCGCAAAGGUCGUGAGUUUAAGGAUUUGCAUGGCCCUAUG
rnacentral:lncRNA from 1 species